rnacentral:rRNA from 1 species
GAGGGGUGCAAGCGUUAUUCGGAAUCAUUGGGCGUAAAGGGUGCGUAGACGGCAUAUUAAGUCAACUGUUAAAUUUUCCGGGCCUAACCGGGAAGCCUGCGGUAGAUACUGGUAAGCUUGAGGAUGGAAGAGAGAAGUGGAAUUCUCGGAGUAGCGGUAAAAUGCGUAGAUCUCGAGAGGAACACCAAUGGCGAAGGCAGCUUCUUGGGCCAAUCCUGACGUUGAGGCACGAAAGCGUGGGGAGCAAACAGGAUUAGAUACCCUGGUAGUCCACGCCGUAAACGAUGAUCACUAGACGUUGGUUCUGUUUUACAGAAUUAGUGUCGCAGCUAACGCGAUAAGUGAUCCGCCUGGGGACUACGGUCGCAAGAUUA